GCCUGGGCAUGCCGCUGGUCGCCAAGUCCGACCAGUCCACCAACAACCAGCUCUUUGCCUCCUACGUGCUGCGCUCCAACGACCUGGUCUUCACCUUCACCGCGCCCUACAGCCGCAAGUGCGCCUCGGUCAGCGAGGGCGUUCCGCUGCGUCACUACAACAUCGACCAUGCGUAUGAGUUCAUCAACUCGCACGGGCUGGCGGUGCGGGCAGUAGGUGCGUAGGAGGAUAUGGCCGUGGUUGCCGGGAGCGAUGCGAGCUUCCGAUCACAUCUAGACUGGCCCGCUGCACCCUGCCGUCGCCUUACUUCUUUUCCCCAGGCCUGCUGGUGGAUGACGCCAAGACGGCGUACGAGGUGUCUGUGGCGCACGGGGCCAAGGGCGUGCUGCCGCCGGUGGAGUUGCGGGAUGAGGCGAGCGGCACCAGCCAGGUCAUCUCGGAGGUCAUUGUUUACGGGGACGUCGUUUUCCGGUGCGUUCCAGUGCAAGAUGGUGCGCCCGCAUGUCGGGAACUGGGCUUGAGGGAUGACGGAUAUUUGAUGCGGGAGCGGGAUGAGGGUGAGGCUGCACUGCACGGUUGGUGUCCAAGCCUUACCUCAGUGCUGAACCCAACUACCCGCCUUACCCCCGCACCCCCACGCAGCUACGUGUCGGGCUCCUUCGAGGGCCCUUUCAUGGCCGGCUACACGCCAGUCACAGACUCGCCGGUCGCGUCGAUUGGGUUACAGCGCGUGGACCACGCGGUGAGUCCAGCAGGGGGGAGGCAGGGGCAGGUGAAAUGGUGAACGCCAUGCUCCAAGAGGUAUGGACCGCAGCGGCGGGUAACAGGUGCUAGGUAGGCUGUGCGCAAGUGGCUACCCCAUGUCUUCGGUUCCUUACUGCAGGUGGGCAACACACACGACCUGAUCAAGGCCGUGGAGUACAUCACCGGGUUCUGUGGUGGGUGAGGGAUAUGAAUUGAUGACAAAAAGAAGACUUUAAUUCAGUGUCAUCAUGGCGACACGUGCGCGCGUGGGUAUGCGUGGAGGGUGGCGGUGGUUGCGUGGCACAGCGCCCUCGCCGUGGCGCCGCCAUUGUCCCGGCCACUGGUCCUCAGCCCCCCUGAUCACCUCGCUCCUCCAACCUGCCCUCUGUCCCUUCCACCAGGCUUCCACGAGUUCUCAGAGUUUGUUGCGGAGGACGUGGGCACUGUGGACAGCGGCCUGAACAGCAUGGUGCGUGCGGCUGCUGGGUAUGGGGCGUGGCCCUGUGAGUGUGUGCGUCGGCUCACGAAGGAAUCUGCCCCAGCGCGGAAGCUGCUUAGUCAGCGGCUCCUAGGCUGCUGCCCACAAUCGCAUAAACGUGCAGGGUGCACCGGGGCUCGGGCCACGCCACAGUUGUACACAUGCUACAAUACGGGUGUGUCAACUCAAUCCACCCAGGUGCUUGCCAACAACGAGGAGACCAUAUUGAUGCCUGUGAACGAGCCCACCUUCGGCACGCCGCGCAAGAGCCAAAUCCAGACCUACCUGGAGCAGAACGAGGGGCCGGGGCUGCAGCACCUGGCGCUGCUCAGCAACGACAUCUUCACCACCCUGCGGUGAGUGGCCGGGUUCCGUAUUUCCAUGGCUUCAGCUGGCGCUGUGGGAACGCAUUGGCUGUAUCGGGCAGCCAUGGUGUGGUUGAAGGUUGCGAUAAAGUAACCGCGCGCUAACGACUACGCCUUACCCGCGCAUGCAGGGAGAUGCGCGCGCGCAGCGAGCUGGGUGGCUUCGAGUUCAUGCCGCGGGCAAAUGCGAAGUACUACAAAGACAUGUACGCCCGCAUCGGCGACUCGCUCACGCCGCAGCAGUACAGGUGGGUCGGCGGGCUAGGCCCGGCAAGAUGGCCAUCCAUCCACCGUCCGCGUGCAGGGACCGUUGCGGUUUGCUGGCCUGAGUCGUGAAGGCUUGGACAGUCUGGUAUGCCGUACACAAUGCCUGUGUUUUCACUUCUGCCCCGCACCGCAGGGAGGUGGAGGAGCUGGGCAUCCUGGUGGACAAGGACGACCAGGUGCGCACGUGCGCGUGUGGGCAUAUGGGCAUGUGUGGGCUCUUGUGUUGGAUUGUAUGCGACGGCAGGCUCGGCUUGGGGAGGCCUUGCCCGGCGGCACACCAAGGACCUAUCGCGGCUCACCAGGCAGUCUGGCCGCAGGCGGCUCACGCAGCGCAUGUGCCGCCCUUCGCCGCUUGUCCGCAGGGCGUGCUGCUGCAGAUCUUCACCAAGCCGCUGGGCGACCGGCCCACGGUGUUUAUUGAGAUCAUCCAGCGUGUGGGCUGCAUGCGGGAGGUGAAGGAGCCUGCUACGGGCGCUGUGGUGGGGACGGAGCAGGCGGCUGGCUGCGGCGGCUUCGGGAAAGGCAACUUCGGCGCCCUCUUCAAGUCCAUUGAGGACUAUGAGCGCACCCUAAAUGUGUAGAGCACGUCAGAGCUAGGCUAGCAGCAGAUAAGUAACGCAGGAGGUCACGAGAUAUGUGGUGGCGGUGCCAGGUGCACCGUACUCGAGUCAGGUAGAUUACAUGCUAGCAGAGCGAGGUAGCAUGCGCGCUCAGUAGGCUCAUGUCAGCCGCUGGAUUGCAAUGGAAUGCAACGGUGCGGCGCUACUGCGUACGCUCUUCAGUUGGUGGGGUGUGUGCGCAAUGUGCUUAGAGUGUGCACUGUGUGUGUAGCAAGUGAAUGGGUCCCGCGCACUAUGCUGAAGGUGCGUGGUGGUGGCGCCGCCGCAUUGGCCUAGAGCCACGCAAGCUUGUGGUGACCAGGCUGUGCAUAGCAGUUGCAGGUCCCAGGAGCACAUGGUCGUAAAAACAAAAAGGCCCUGUGUGGGGGGGCUGGCAGUGUAUGAAGGAGUGGCAAUGCGCCCAGAUGCUGCAGACAGGCAGUUGCUGCGCCUACUCAGCGCCGCCUAGGGGCUGACGCCUAGAGACGUCAUUUUGACAUCAGAUGACGUUAUGUGCGGAGCCCGCGGGCACUGCAGCACAGGGGGAUGCUGGUGCCCCUAAUCAGCGAUGCAUGAAAGGGGCGCGUCGGCGUGACAGACCAAAGCUGCGCGAGAGAACAAGAGACUCGCCGUUACACGACUGCUCUAGUCCGUCCAUUUGAAUUGUACAUGUCACAUGUGCCCACCCCAAGACCCAGUGCGCGGCGGCUUGAAUGCUUUAAUGUCAUCUGAAUACAUCUGCCCAGAGAGGCCCAAGGCGCCAACGUGCCCUGGGCACUACCAGGCCCCUGCGCAAGCAUGCCUGAGCAUGCCCAUGUGCAGCGGUUGGCACCCGAGCUGCGACUGGCGCUGCCAGGUAAAUCGCUCUUGACUUCAAUACGCGCAGGAUCAUGAUAUAUAAAAGCCAAUGCUCACAGAGCGAGUACGCUGGCUGAGGUUGGAAGUCGCGGGGUCACGCGGGGUCGCUAAUUUGGGGGGCACAAUUACGCUGAUGACGAGCUGCCGCUUCUCCCGUACCUUUAUUCGCCUACUUAUGCAUGCGUUCAGCGUGAUGCCUGAUGUGUAGACAGCUCCGGCACCCUUCGCCGACGUCAGAGCGGUGUCAGAGCGAUCGAGUGCAUCGAGUCUGGGGUGCGCAUUCGCUGCUGCUUUCAGCAUAAAAUACUGUCAUGCGAACUUGAUAUACACAACAUCAGCGCUAGCGCCGUUCGCCGUGUCUCCAGAACCCAGAAGGCCUUGUGACUGGUCACGCUCGCGCGACACGACUUACCGCUCCAUUUAUAGCCCAUACCAACUAUGGGAGCGGGUGGUGCAGGCACCGGAGAUCGGGAGGGGGGCAUUAAGCUCGUGGGCUACAAGAAUUUCGUGCGCCAGAACCCGCUUUCAGACAAAUUCACCGUCCACAAGUUUCAUCACAUCGAUUUCUGGUGCGGAGAUGCAACAAACACAUCGAAGCGGUAAGAGUUGCAAGGGGUGAGCGUUUUUCGGGCUGGUUCGGCUACGUGGAUGGAACGUUCGCUGGGCCACGCGGACUUCUGGUGUGGAACUGCCGUUGCAUACUCCUUGAGAGGAACAAACCAGCGCAUGAUGGCCCUCAAAAUGCAUGGCGGUGUUAACUUGUGUCUUGCGGGUUCGUGGGGACCGGGGCGCUGCGGGCGCGUGGCUGCGGUACCCAAACCUGGUCCUCAGGAACGACCGUGUACCUGGCACCUCCACCUUGAUGAUAGAGGCCUGCGAGUUCAAUCUAUGUGUUCAUGUCAUGCGGCGCAGGUUCUCCUACGGCCUGGGCAUGCCGCUGGUCGCCAAGUCCGACCAGUCCACCAACAACCAGCUCUUUGCCUCCUACGUGCUGCGCUCCAACGACCUGGUCUUCACCUUCACCGCGCCCUACAGCCGCAAGUGCGCCUCGGUCAGCGAGGGCGUUCCGCUGCGUCACUACAACAUCGACCAUGCGUAUGAGUUCAUCAACUCGCACGGGCUGGCGGUGCGGGCAGUAGGUGCGCAGGAGGAUAUGGCCGUGGUUGCCGGGAGCGAUGCGAGCUUCCGAUCACGUCUUGACUGGCCAGCUGCACCCUGCCGUCGCCUUACUUCUUUUCCCCAGGCCU
rnacentral:lncRNA from 1 species